AGCCGGGAACUCUCCAUAGAAGCCAUAGAUGCAGAUUGCAUUCCCGGGCGGUAACGUCCAGUGAGUGUCCUCUUUCCGGGCUAGGACCUUUUCCCGUCGGGUCGCCCACAGCCCCUCCUCCGGGCGUGGUGGAGGAGGAGAACCACAAGGGACUCCUUUCCUAUUUAAAGGUUGCCAGCUCAAGGGACCUGGGUCCACCACGGGUCCCUUGGCGCCGCGGUUGCAGACAGACUCUGACAACGGUUGAGCCGCUAGCUGCAUGGUUCCCGCCGUCCCUGGACACUUUUCCCGGUGACCCCAAGGCAACGGCGCACUUGUCACCGUGGGUGACCGAGAGGGGACGGCGGGGGGCGGGCCCCGCGGGGCACGUGGGCGCGGCCGGCGCUGGCCGCGGCAGCAAGUGGUUGGGCCGUGCGCAGUCCGUCCUGCGCGGCGCCGGCGCGGGUGCCCGGUGCGCGGCGCCCUCCGCUCGGCUGCGCCGCCCGCCCGCCGCGCGCCCAUGUCUCUGCCGGUGGUGCUCCCGGGCUCCUGCUGCCCGGUGGCGGGGCUGUCGGGCGGACCUCAGGCCGGGGGUCCUGGCGCCGCCACCGCCGCCGCCGCUCAGGAGCCGCCGCUGCCCCCGCUGCGGCCGCGCUGGCCCCGGGGUGCUCUGCAGCCUCCAGCCCGGCCCCGCUGCGCCCCCGCCGCCGUGCUGGCCCCGCCGCCGGCGCUCGCGUCCCGCCGCCCCGCCGCGCCAGGCUCCGCGCUGCUGCCCGCGCGCCCGCUGCUGUCGCUCGGGCUCCUGCAGCUGAUCCUGGGCUGCUGCAUGGUGGCGCUCAGCUUCGGGGCGCUGUCGCUGAGCAGCUCGCCGCAGGUGAAGAACUCGUGCCCAUUCUGGGCUGGCUCCUCGGUGAUACUCUCUGGAAUCAUUGGAUUGACGACUUGGAAAAGGCCCAUGAUACUGCUGGUGAAUCUCUUUGUGCUGCUCUCUGUGGUUUGCAUCCUCCUAAAUCUCGCAGGCUUCAUCCUAGGCUGUCAAGGAGCCCAGUUUGUGUCCAGCGUGCCCAGGUGUGAUCUGGUGGACUUAGGUGAAGGCAAGAUCUGCUUCUGUUGUGAAGAAUUUCAACCAGCCAAAUGCACAGACAAAGAAAAUGCCUUGAAACUCUUCCCGGUCCAGCCUUGUAGUGCUGUGCACCUUCUGCUUAAGAAAGUCCUGUUUGCCCUGUGUGCCUUGAACGCCUUGACCACCACAGUGUGUUUGGUGGCUGCUGCCCUGCGCUACCUCCAGAUCUUUGCCAGCAGAAGGCCAUGUAUUGAUGAAUCCCAGAUGUCUGCAGAGGACGUGGAAGAACACGGUCGGAUUCCAGACCCAGAUGACUUUGUGCCACCAGUGCCUCCUCCUUCUUACUUUGCCACAUUUUACUCCUGCACACCUCGGAUGAACCGCAGGAUGGUUGGUUCUGAUGUCAUCCCACUGCCCCAUAUCUAUGGAGCACGCAUCAAGGGUGUGGAAGUGUUCUGUCCUCUGGACCCCCCACCUCCAUACGAAGCUGUAGUGAGCCAGACUGACCAGGAGCAGGAGUCUUCAUUCCAAAUGCCAGAAGGACCAGAAACUGCUGCGAGCCCAGCAGAGCCAGUUUGCACGCAGAUAACUCAAGGUGGGGCUCUUACUAACACGACUGGUGAAGAAAACACAUCUGGAUCAACUCCUAUUCUCACUCUGGUUCAGCCUCCGAGAAGCCGGAGAGCUCUCCCCCUUCUGAGGACAAGAUCAAAGAGCGACCCUGUGCUUCACCAUUCGGAGGAGAGAGCUCUGGACUGACCAUAUGGAAGCCACAGAGAACCCUUCCCUGGUCCCUGCAGCAGCUUCCAGGCGGGGAGGAAGUCCUGCCUCCCAAGACGAGCUGUGUGUCUCUGCAAACCAGUAGGCUUGGCAGCCUGGCCUCUAGUUCAAAGCCCCACCUUCACUGUGGAGGUCCAGUAUCCUACCUGGCAAGUUGAGUCUUCGAGCUGACCCUGUGCCAGCUUCUAGGAGCAUGUAGCCGUUUGCACAGCAAAGGGAGGCUGGACCCCCCUUGCAUUCUUCAGUCCUGUGGACGAGAGGACAUUUACCUGGUGGCUUGUUUCACUGAGGAAGGCAUUCAGUGAGCGAAUGCAAACUACACUCUGUCUUCACACGGCUUUAUCCCGUGUUUCUGGAAGACUUGUUGUCUGUAACGAGAACAUGGCAAGCUGGAAGGGCAGCUUCUAACCCUGGGUCAGAACUCCUGUCUGCCUUUCUCCAGAGGAAAAGGAAACCUACCCUUCUUUCACCUGUCACUCCACCCUGUGCUUCCUGCCUCCUUGAAUAUCUGAAUCUGUACUUAUGCGGCCUUUACAAAUUUGACAGCUGUGUGCACUGAAGCCUGAUGGUGGCUUGUGGACACAUGGAGAUCAGACCCGAGGAAUAACUUCUCCACCCAGUUCAUGGUGAAAUAGCUUCUUGCCAGUCUUUAUCCCUUUACUGAUGGAAGCAGCCAUGGGAAUUAGAGCCUGCAGUGGAUUUUUUUUAGACCCUCUGUUGACUUCUGGAAUGAUGUAACUUUCUGCACCUAGGUUUUCUGUACUAGUCAUAGAUCUGCCUCACAGCCAUGGUGUGAGCCUCAGAAAUAGGCAUCAAUAGAGUGCUCCGAGGAUGUUUAGGACCAAGGUACCGUGACAGCAUAUUUUCUGCUCAUCCCACAAGUGUGUCAUCUGUCUCUUCCUCUCUUUGACUCUUCUAAACCUACCUGCCCCAACAUUCUCUCGUUGGUCCACCAUCUUUUUCUUUCUGCUUAGCCAUCCAUUCCUAUCUACUCCAUGAAAACACGCUCCUCCGUGGUUUGCACUGUGGAUUCUGUGCCGUGUCAUCUGUCUUUGCCUUGGGGACUGUUUAUGUGCCGUGGUUCAGUGUCUCAGCACACAGCCUAUUGCAAGUGCACUUCACACAAUAGAGCUGUGUUAGUUUCAUUUCCCUUCAUUCCUUCUGUUCUUCAAGAUGGUGAGAUGUACACGCAUGACCUCGGGCAUCUGCCAGAUGUUGUCUACACUGAGAUUUCUAUGGUCAGUGUGCAGAGGGGCUUGUUCAAUGGUGACAUUUUGUCUCUGUCCACAGCUACCCCGGUGCUCAGCUGCGAAGCUGCAACGCAGACAGAAAGGAGGCUAGAUCUCGCUACAGUGACUCUGAGGAGAGGCGCGAGGCCACGGGCAUCAAGAUGCAGACCCCGCUCUCUGAUAGAUUACAGGUCAUACAUAGACACGAAGCUGCUAGUGGCCAGGUUCCUGGAGCAGUCCUCCUGCAGCAUGACUCCGGACAUUCAUGAACUUGUAGAGAACAUAAAGUCUGUUCUGAAAUCCGAUGAGGGGCACAUGGAAGAAGCCAUCACGAGUGCCAGUUUCCUAGAGCAGAUAAUGGCCCCGUCACAGCCCAGCACAUCCCAGGCCCAGGAGUUGAGCUGGAGGAGACAGCCCGGCCUGCUGCACCUGCGCAGCUGUGGAGAUCUAAGCACCUUCUCUCUGACAGCAAGGCCGAGAGCCGAGAGGAGGCCCCAGCAGCGAGCGGAGGCUGAGCGGCCACACAGCCUUAUUGGUGUCAUUCGAGAGACUGUCCUGUGAACUGAGUGACAUGGAAGGAUGUCCCUCCUCAGUGCUGUUUACUGUCUGGGAGCCAGGGGCACCCCUCCCCCUCCCCCCACUGGGAACCCCUCAACCGGGUUCCUGGGGUGGGCACUUAUUCCUGUUCUUUGGCUCCCUUUUUUUGCUGACGAGGGCACUCAGGUGAACUCGGGUGAAGUACGUUCUUCCUGGCCCUUCCAGUCUGUGUGUUCCUGGUUGGAGAAGAAGGCAGGGAGGGCUCCUUUGUCUGCUGGGUCUCACAGUAUCCCCAAGGGGUGCACACUGGGUGAGCAGAAAGCAGGCUCCCUAGCCUUUGCCUGCCUCACCCCUCAUGGCUCUUGUUGUUGCCAAGUUCAUUCCCUUGCUGUAAGGGGAGAGCUGCCGGGCUAUUUAUAGCAGCCUGCCGCCUCUGGCUGCUCAGUGAGAGGAAUUGGCAGGAGACAUGAUGGUUAACACCAUGUGACUCCAGUCUUCCAGCCUCCUUUAGGUUACCCUCAAUCCCUUCCUCUUUAGGAAAAGCAGCAGACCAGCUAAGCGGUGUUUUGUUUUCUUUUCUUUUGUUUUGUUUUUAAAUGAAGGACGUUAAGGGUGAGCACUAUGGUUGAGUCCAUUCCUUCAUGCUUGCAAACUAGAAGACAGAACAGAGAAUAAAGCGCUGGCGUUGGAAAGUCUGGA